rnacentral:rRNA from 1 species
AACGAACGCUGGCGGCAGGCUUAACACAUGCAAGUCGAACGAGAUCUUCGGAUCUAGUGGCAGGCGGGUGAGGAACACGUGGGAACAGCCCUUUCAGUUCGGAAUAACGUUGGGAAACUAACGCUAAUACCGGAUACGUCCUUCGGGAGAAAGAUUUAUCGCUGAAAGAUUGGCCCGCGUCUGAUUAGUUAGUUGGUGAGGUAAUGGCUCACCAAGGCUACGAUCAGUAGCUGAUCUGAGAGGAUGAUCAGCCACAUUGGGACUGAGACACGGCCCAAACUCCUACGGGAGGCAGCAGUGGGGAAUAUUGGACAAUGGGCGCAAGCCUGAUCCAGCCAUGCCGCGUGAGUGAUGACGGCCUUCGGGUUGUAAAGCUCUUUUGUCCGGGAAGAUAAUGACUGUACCGGAAGAAUAAGCCCCGGCAAACUUCGUGCCAGCAGCCGCCGUAA